rnacentral:lncRNA from 1 species
GCGUAGUUUAACUGAAGGUAAUUAAAAGAUUAGCAUUAUGUAAUUCUAAUCUUUUGAUCCUCAUUCAGUGAAAUCUAGGCGUCACGGUUCACUGGCAUUUCAGGUGUGAAGAACAUUUCGUAUCAAUUGUAAACGGGAGUCAGACAAAGUUUCAGACACAUGAAUGUAAAAAAAAAAUAAUUAAAAUUAAUUAACGGGAAUAAUAAGAUCGCAC